AGUAUUCAGACACGCUUAUUUAAGUAAAACUAUUAAAGAAUGAUCCGCAAAGUGAACUUAAAUUAUUAAAGUAUUUACUAUGCAGAGUGUUACAUAUAUUAUUAGAUUAUUAUUAUUUAUCUGUUAAUGUGUAAAGAGACAAAGAGACAGAAGUAUGGAGCUGUGGUCAAGCGAUGGCAUCUAAGCAAACACCAUCUUCUGAUGAAGACCACCUCCAGAAAAAGCUAGAAUGUGGACCUUGAGUUAAGACUCUUUAGUCAAACUACUGUUUCCAAGCUCAAAAAUAAACUUUCAAACUCAAAUUCUAUUAUCUCUCUUAAACAUCAGACAGCGCAAAAACCCAGAGCGAUCCAAAAGUGAUCGACCUUCCAAGCAGCCGUAGAACGCGUUCAGGCCGAAAACGCAGGAUCUGCGUUGGUGGCGGUGUUUGUUUCGGGUCCGGUGAGACAGGAAGUCUAGUUUGAGUAACAGAUCUGUGAAUCUGAAGGUUUAUCACACGCCAAACCUCACUGCACAGAGGUUUAUUGUAUUAUUAGAGAAAGGAUUUUACAACUCUGGAAAUGUAUCGAAGCACCUGGUCUUGACACCUGGUCAAUCCCACCACACUUAUUUACCCUGUGAUUGGGCACCAGUUGGGAGUAUUGUGGGAACACUUCUGAUAGGAGAAGUGGUGACUGGCCGACCUCCAUCUGCCUGCCACACUGGGUUAAAAAGCCGCCGUUUCAAAGGUGCACACGCUCGCACGUUCAUGCCGGCUGACGUGGACAGAUUCUCGCUGCUUGUUGGUUGAUAAGUCUGAAAUCAUUGAUUAACCUUCACAAAGUGCUCACACAGGAUCAAAGACUGCUCAAUAUUUAUUAUACUUGAAGGGAAUAUUGUUUAAAAGGGAAUUCUUGAAUCAGGUCUUGAUAUCAGUCUGUGUUCACACCCAAGAAUAAAAGUAACUGAGCCAGAUAGACAAUGGAAACAAUGCAUUGUUGAUCCAGUCAGUCUUCAAACGAUCAAUAUCUGUAGUCGCACACUGAAUUAUUCAAUUAAUAACAAUCUGUACUGUCAUAAUUAUCAUAAUCAUAAGUUUUUUCAUAAGUACAGUGUUUUUUCAGGGCUGUAAAAACCUGAAGAGACUUUUGUUAAAUGUGAAAAAUGAAUCUUAUCAGUUUCAUUUAAUAAAACAAUAAACACUCUCA